GAAAUGAUGAAAGUAGAAUAUUUAGGCUUUUGCUUUGUAUUAUUUAAGUAGACCUUAUGACCUAAUUAUCUUCCUUUCAGGCCACAGAUUACUACGGAAAAGCUGUGCAGUUGAAUUGGAAUAGUCCCCAGGCGCUUAACAACUGGGGACUUGCACUGCAGGAACUCAGUGCGAUAGUCCCUGCUAAGGAAAAGCAUAACAUUGUUAAGACGGCAAUUAGUAAGUUCCGUGCAGCAAUUCAGUUGCAGUUUGACUUUCAUAGGGCUAUUUACAACCUCGGAACUGUUUUGUAUGGCUUAGCCGAGGACUUGCUAAGAAUCGGGGGAUCAGUCAGCCAUAAUGAUAUUUCGCCCAAUGACUUGUAUAGUCAGUGCGCUGUCUUUAUUGCAGCUGCUCACGCAUUGAAGCCAAAUUACUCG